rnacentral:rRNA from 1 species
GAUGAACGCUGGCGGUAUGCUUAACACAUGCAAGUCGAACGGUCACUUCGGUGAUAGUGGCGGACGGGUGAGUAACGCGUGAGAAUCUGUCUUCAGGUCGGGGACAACAGUUAGAAAUGACUGCUAAUACCGGAUGUGCCUUUGGGUGAAAGAUUUAUUGCCUGAAAAAGAGCUCGCGUCAGAUUAGCUAGUAGGUGGUGUAAGAGACUACCUAGGCUCCGAUCUGUAGCUGGUCUGAGGGGACGAUCAGCCACACUGGAACUGAGACACGGUCCAGACUCCUACGGGAGGCAGCAGUGGGGAAUUUUCCGCAAUGGGCGAAAGCCUGACGGAGCAAUACCGCGUGAGGGACGAAGGCUUUUGGGUCGUAAACCUCUUUUCUCAAGGAAGAUGAUGACGGUACUUGAGGAAUAAGCAUCGGCUAACUCUGUG